AUAUUGGUGGUUUAGUGGUGCACAUAGCUGCCUUCUAAGCAAUCGAUCCGGGCUUGAUUCCUGGCCAAUGCA
rnacentral:tRNA from 1 species